CUCAGUUGAUUAGAUGUUGUCUAGGACUGCAUUUUCUUUGGAAAGACCAAGCAAUGUGCAUGCCAAUCAGAUCUGUGGCUUUGAACAAUAGGUGACAGGUUGUGUUUUCAAUUGAUUCAUGGUCUGUUGUUUUUUAAAAACGCUUGGCACAUCCUCAACAAAAUCCUGAUUAAACGAUAGGCUUGGCAUAUCUUAUUUAUCACUGUGGUUGCUUUUAUCCGCAACUGAUUUCUCUGAUUCCUCUCCCAUGCUGAAUUGUUUUGGGCAAUUCCCGAAGGCCUUAUGUUUUAUGUUAUUGGGAACUGCAGGACACCCAGCGAGUGUUUAGGAUCCCAGACAGGGCAGUUCUUGACAUGCUCCUGGCACACCUUGGACUAUCACCAGCUCUUUUGCACAUACAUGUGAUGUGGUACAUUCUUUCUCUUCAUGUUUUAAGAAAUUACUUUAGGAUACUUCAUGUUUUACUGUUAUUCUCUAUGAUCAUUAGAUUUUCAUUUUGCAUUGUUAUCCUGUCACUAGAUAGUGUCUUGUAGCCUGUUUUCCUGAUGUUUAUUUGAAUAUGUUUUCUUUUAUCCACAGAUGAAGCCCAUCCAUUUGUCCGUUCUUCGUCAGGGUCACAAAGUCUUUGUGCCAGGAUUCUUCCCUUUGUAAAUAUGAAAGCGUGUAUGAUCUAUUCACAGACUUGCUCUGCUGCUUUGUAGCCCAACUGAUUAUGUACUCUUGAUCGUCCUCAUGGCAUCUGUCAACUCCAUUGUGAAUCAUCUCUUUAUCCUAAGGCUGUACUCGCUAUGCUAGAAUGAUAGAUGAUAUAGUAAAUACAUCUUUUCUUUUUACAAGGCUCAUAUCGUAAGGAUUGUCGUGUCCUGUGAACCAAGUUCAGUAUGUUGUCUAUUAGAUAUAUUCCUAUUUCUUGUUUAGAAUGUGAUGCUCCAGUUCAGAUAAUCAGUACUGCAUAUUUUGGCUGAUAUUUCUACUACAGAGCACUUGGUGGCGAUGGAUAAGUGUCGGACGCGAUGGGUUUCUUGUUUGAAGAGAUUUGCAUUGUUGACUAUUAUAGACUUUUUCUGUGUAACUUAAAAAGUGUUAACAUAUUUUUAAAAUAUUACUAUAAAUUUGAAAUCUGUUCACAUGUUUCAAAAUUGUUCGUUCAAUUUUAGAAGUGUCUGCACAUCUAUAUCGCGCUCAUAUCAUAUUCUUCACUGCAUGUUAUCUAUUAUGAUUGCAUAUAUUAAACUUGGGUUAAUACUGACUUAGAAUUACCUGUUUCGAAAAUGUUGGGACCGGCACCCUCGCGCCAGGGCGCAAACCCGAUCUAGUAGGUGUU
rnacentral:lncRNA from 1 species